AUUAGAAGAAACAGGAAGAGCGAAAGGAACUUAUAAAUUGUCCGCGAAUUUUCCUCGGUCGGUAACACGCCGUAACACGCGCAUACACACGCACAUUCUAGACACGUACAUACAUACAUACAUACACUUCUAAAGAUAUGAAAGUAUAUAAGCCACGGAGCAUGGAAACUAUAGGGUAGAAAAGAAAACAAGGUAAAAAAGAGACCGAAAAUAAAGAGGAUCGAACCUACGAGUAUUUCUAUAAAGGGAAGCUGCGAUAUAAAAAUUGCAUCUAACAAUAUGCAUCCAGAAGGGAGAAAAAAAAGAAGAAGAAAAGAGCCGGUCAGGGCCGACGAGCAGUUCAACGAUCGUUCCGCGGAUGGGACUUGAUUUAUGCGCGAGCUAUCUGCAUAAUUCAUACAGUUAUACGGAACACGAUGUAACGAGAGAGAAAAA
rnacentral:lncRNA from 1 species